UACGGAGGGUGCAAGCGUUAUCCGGAUUUACUGGGUUUAAAGGGCGCGUAGGCGGCUAGGCAAGUCAGGUGUGAAAGCCCCGAGCUUAACUCGGGAACUGCAUCUGAAACUGCUGGGCUUGAGUUCUGGAGGGGGUAGUGGAAUUCCCAGUGUAGCGGUGAAAUGCGUAGAUAUUGGGAGGAACACCUGCGGCGAAGGCGGCUACCUGGACAGAAACUGACGCUGAGGCGCGAAAGCUAGGGGAGCGAACGGG
rnacentral:rRNA from 1 species